UAUGUAAGAAAGACAUGAUUUCCACCCCACUUCUGCAACACAUCUGAGUUUUAUCUUCUUUUUGGAUCUGUAUCUUAUGCAGCUUACACAAUGCAGCAAGCUCUAGAACAAGCUUUGGAUCGUGCAGAGUAUAUUGUUGAAAGUGCUCGGCAGAGACCUCCUAAAAGGAAAUACCUAUCUAGUGGAAGAAAGUCUAUAUUCCAAAAACUUUAUGACUUGUAUGUUGAAGAAUGUGAAAAAGAACCUGAAGUUAAGCAGAAAUUAAGAAGAAAUGUGAACUUGUUAGAGAAGCUUGUUAUGCAAGAGACUUUGUCAUGUUUGGUGGUCAAUCUGUAUCCAGGAAACGAAGGAUAUUCUCUGAUGCUCAGGGGGAAAAAUGGAUCAGAUUCUGAGACCAUCCGAUUGCCUUAUGAAGAAGGGGAAUUGCUUGAAUACUUAGAUGCAGAAGAAUUACCUCCUAUUUUGGUUGAUCUCCUUGAAAAAUCACAGGUUAAUAUUUUUCAUUGUGGAUGUGUGAUAGCAGAAAUACGUGACUAUCGCCAGUCCAGUAAUAUGAAAUCUCCUGGUUACCAGAGUAGGCACAUUCUCUUACGUCCAACAAUGCAGACUUUAGUCUGUGAUGUUCAUUCUAUAACAAGUGACAACCAUAAAUGGACCCAGGAAGACAAACUUUUGCUUGAGAGCCAACUGAUUCUAGCUACAGCAGAACCACUGUGUCUUGACCCGUCUGUGGCUGUAGCUUGUACUGCAAAUAGGCUGCUCUAUAACCGGCAGAAGAUGAACACUCGCCCAAUGAAACGGUGUUUGAAGAGGUACUCCAGGUCCUCCCUGAACCGGCAGCAGGACCUGUCUCACUGUCCUCCUCCCCCUCAGCUGAGAUUACUUGAUUUCUUACAAAAACGCAAGGAAAGGAAAGCAGGUCAGCACUAUGACCUCAAAAUUUCUAAAGCAGGAAAUUGUGUGGACAUGUGGAAACGGAGCCCCUGUAACCUGGCUGUGCCUUCUGAAAUAGAUGUGGAGAAAUAUGCUAAAGUAGAAAAAUCCAUCAAAUCUGAUGACUCUCAACCAACAGUCUGGCCGGCCCAUGAUGUAAAAGACGAUUAUGUAUUUGAAUGUGAAGGUGGUACUCAGUAUCAGAAAACAAAGCUGACCAUCCUGCAGUCUCUUGGUGAUCCACUUUACUAUGGUAAAAUCCAGCCGUGGAAAGCAGACGAAGAAAAUGACAGUCAAAUGUCUCCAUCCCACUUCUCUGCAGAGGAUCAUUCAAAUUGGUUUAUUAUUGGGUCAAAGACUGAUGCAGAGAGGGUAGUUAAUCAAUACCAGGAGUUGGUCCAGAAUGAAGCCAAAUGCCCAGUGAAGAUGUCACAUAGCUCUAGUGGUUCAGCCACUCUCAAUUCAGGGGAGGAGACAGAACAGCCUGAGACUGUGUCUAUUCAGUCUUCAGUUUUGGGAAAGGGAGUAAAACAUCGGCCCCCACCCAUCAAACUUCCCUCAAGCUCAGGAAAUAAUGCCUCAGGUAACUAUUUUACAGCACAACAGGCCAGCAGCUUCCUUAAAUCUCCAACUCCUCCUCCAUCAUCUAAGCCAAGUCUCUCUCGGAAAUCAUCUGUGGAGCUCAGUCAAGUUAGCAUGCUUUCUCCUGCCGCCCUGUCACCUGCCAGCUCUUCACAGAGACAUGAAAGCUAAAAAGGAAACACCUCAAGAGCUUUUGCUUUAUUUUUUUGGUUUCAUUUUUUUUAUUUUUUUAAAGUUGAUAAACUGUGCAUACUUCAUUCACAACAGAUUUUCUAUACAUUCUACAUUUAAACAGAAGUACACAGUUACUGUUAAAGAUGCAGUAUUAUCUAUAAAGUACUUGCUUUACUCCUUGUAAAUUUGUUUGUCAGGGUAAACUUGAUAUGUUGGGAAUUAAAUAGGUAUAUCUCGGUGCUAAAUAUAAUUGAUAACUUUGUGUAGCUUACUAAAAAUGUUCAUUUUAUCUCAGACAGUUAAACUAAAUAAGCAGUAUUUUUAAAAGAAGUCUUGAAUUAUUAAAAUCAUAAAUAACAAAAAUUAACUUAAAUUCAGUUUCAACUUUGUAGGCAAAAGACAGCAUGUAGGAGACUAACUUUUCAGUGGUGUUGUGGUAGCGUGUAAGUGUAUUUCCACUGUUACUGUGAUAGCAUCUGGAGUGGGGUUUUUAGGUGAUAUACUGCAUCCUUAAUUGUAAUUGAGUGUAGCAACACUCGUGGAUCUUAUAGAUUGUUAACACUUGCAGUUCACUGCUUUUAAAAAAUUGGAACAAAUUUGUCAGUGCUAAGUAAGAUUCCAUUAACCUUAUUUUAAAAGGACCGGCCAUUUAUAACAAACUAGCAAUUUUUAUUUUUCUCAAUGAGCAGGAUCUGGAACUCCUAAGCCAUCUACUCCUACACCAACCCCUUCAUCGGCCCCACACCCUCCUGAUGCUCAGAACUCAACUCCUAGUACCCCUUCAGCCACCCCAUCUCCCCAAGAUUCAGGCUUCACCCCUCAGCCCACUUUGUUCACUCAGUUUGCUCAGCAGCAAAGGGCUCUGAGCCAGGCAAUGCCUGUGACAACCAUUCCUCUUUCUACCAUGGUAACAUCUAUAACAACAGGAAGCACGGUCUCUCCGGUCAUGGCAGACUCUGCUGGGCUUAACUCCAUCGGUGUAGUGAGCUCUGCUGGUGGAGCCCAUGCUCUGAAGAGUGGCUCAAACUCCAUGCUGAGCUGUGACGCUGUAACUCCUGCAGGAAAAAACAUGUGUGGCAGCCUUCUUCCAUCAGGAAGUCUCUUAACAAAUGCACUGCCCAGUGUAAUGCAGGCAACUUCUCAGUCAGGUAUCCCAUUUGGUUUAAAAAAUACUUCAAAUCUCAGGCCUUUAAAUCUACUCCAGCUUCCUGGUGAUUCACUCAUGUUUAACACUCAGCAGCAACAACAGCAGUCACAGCCCCCUCAGUUUGUACAACCUCAGCAGCCUACAGCUUCCAGUCCCCAACAGCCAGAGGAGCAGGGUUCUGAACAAAGUUUAACUGCUCAAGAACAGGCCUUAACUGCUCAACAAGCUGCUGUUGUUAAUCUUACUGGAUUAGGCGGCUUUACACAAUCACCGGCAGCUGUGUUGUCUCAGCUCAGCUCUGCUGAGAACAGACCUGAGCAAAGCCUCCCUCAGCAGAGACUCCAGCUCUCUUCUGCCUUGCAGCAGCAGCAACAGCAGCAGCAGCAGCAGCAGCAACAGCAGCAGCAGCAGAUUCAACAGUUGCGAUUCUUGCAACAUCAGAUGGCUAUGGCAGCAGCAGCCGCACAAACAGCGCAGCUACAUCGUCACCGGCAUCCAGGUGGUCAGUCAAAGAGUAAAGUGAAGAGAGGCAUGCCAACCACUCCAAAAUUCUGAGCAAGAGUUCUUCUUUUCUCUCUUUUUUUUUUUUUUUUUACAAACACAAGGCCAUUGAACAAAAAGAAUUGUAUUUCUACUUCAUUUUUUUCCCCUAAGAUGUCAGUAUUUUACAUUGAUAGAUAUGCAUACUUUAUACAAAAGCACAACCUUGUGAUUCUUUCAUGGGUUAAAUGUUUUCCUGUAUAUACCAUCUACAGAAAUAACCUAAGAACUAUAGAAAUAUCUUUCAAAGGAAUGUAGUUGGUAUUUAUUUAGUAUAAAAAACCUGCACAGUGUAACAAAUACAGUUUUUACAGCUGGUUUGCAA